rnacentral:rRNA from 1 species
UACGAAGGGGGCUAGCGUUGCUCGGAAUCACUGGGCGUAAAGCGCACGUAGGCGGAUCUUUAAGUCAGGGGUGAAAUCCUGGAGCUCAACUCCAGAACUGCCUUUGAUACUGAGGGUCUCGAGUUCGGGAGAGGUGAGUGGAACUGCGAGUGUAGAGGUGAAAUUCGUAGAUAUUCGCAAGAACACCAGUGGCGAAGGCGGCUCACUGGCCCGAUACUGACGCUGAGGUGCGAAAGCGUGGGGAGCAAACAGG